rnacentral:rRNA from 1 species
UACGAAGGGGGCGAGCGUUGUUCGGAAUUACUGGGCGUAAAGGGCGCGUAGGCGGCCGAUCAAGUCAGAUGUGAAAGUCCUGGGCUUAACCUGGGGACUGCAUUUGAUACUGAUUGGCUUGAAUGCAGGAGAGGAUAGCGGAAUUCCCAGUGUAGAGGUGAAAUGCUUAGAGAUGACAUAGAACACCCAUUGCGAAGGCAGCUAACUACGCGAUCAUUGACGCUGAUGCACGAAAGCGUGGGGAUCAAACAGG